AUGAACAGGGUGUCAGUGAAUCAACGAGGUGGAUAUGGAGGAGGAAGAGGUGGUUACGGUGGAGGCGAUGGAUAUAAUGGCUACGGAGGGAAUGGUGGUUAUGGUGGAGGUGGACCUAAUUAUGGUGGCAACCGUGGUUAUGGAGGAGGCAGCGGAGGUGGUGGCGGCGGCUAUGGAAACCAGGGUGGAGGCUAUGGUGGUGGCGGCGGUGGCUAUGAUAACUACAACAAUGGUGGUGGAGGCAACUUCGGAGGAGGUCAGUUACCUUGUGAACCAUUUUGUCAUUUUUGUUCUCCUAGGUUUGCUAUUUUUUUUUUUUUUUUUUUUUUUUUUUUUUUUUUAUUUCUUCUGCCGCGCUGCCUCUGUAGCAGAUAAGAUUUUAAAGAAUCGUUGUAUUUUUGCAGGCAACUUUGGAGGUGGCGGAGGCUACAACGACUUUGGCAACUACAACAAUCAAUCUCCCUCUAACUACGGCCCAAUGAAGGGAGGAAACUACGGAAGUGGUGGAAGGAGCGGUGGUGGUGGUGGUGGCCCAUAUGGCGGUGAGUGAACAUUGCAGUGUUAUUGAAUAAGUACAUUCGAAUUCAAACCAUUUCCAUUCCACGCUGAAAUGUUCUGAGAUGUCAGAUGUCUCAAUCACGGUUCUUUUAUAGGUGGUUAUGGAGGAGGCUCUGGUGGGGGUUAUGGAGGAGGCUCUGGUGGGAGAAGGUUUUAGAUUCAAGGGUAAGAAUUGCCCCACGUAUGGAAGAGGCCUAUGAUGUUAGCCAUUAGUUUGUUUUUAGCUCAUCCAUGUCCAAACAUCUCAUAAGAUGCGUAACCUAUGCAAAUGUUAGCCCGUAAUCACUCUUCAACUGGUCGGUAAAUAAGUAAAACUAUUGAGUUUUCAGUGCAGGGGAUCCAGCAGCAAACCUUCAAAUCUAAUAAAGCUAAGAUCCAGUAUCA
ensembl:lncRNA